UUCAUCUCCACUGUCAUCAUCUUCAUCGCCACCAUCACCAUCUGCAUCUCCUACCACCACGAAAAAUCCAUCGAACCAAACUCCGCCACCAUCAUCUCUGGUACCACCUCCUACUCCAUUGGCUCUACAUAUUCCAUAAUCAGCUCCAUCACUACUUACAAAAACUUAAAUCUGGUGAUGAAUCAACGAGAAAAUGGUCUUAAAAACCUAAUUUUGAGAAUUAGAUCAUUAGAUUCAUUUUGGGUUCAACUCGAUCCGGCUUGAAGAACCUAAAAUCGAUGAUAACAACGUUAGUUCUUAAAGAAGUUUAUGUAUUAAUUGGGAUGAGAUGACCGAAAUCGUCAUCAAUAAUUGGAUCUGUAGAUUCAAUCAUCAAAAUAGAUUAAAAGGUGGUGGUGGUGGUGUUGGCGGCGGUUGUCAGGAGAUGAUGUUGGUGGUAAUUAUUUCAUGAUGCCAAAGAAAAAAGGUAACAAAUGAUGGUGUUGGGGAUGAUUUUAUGGGUUCGAUAUGUCAUCACAGUGUAACUAACGAUAUUGUUGGUGGUGGUGGACUUGGUGUUGGAAGAUAAAUUGGAAGUGAUACUGGUUGUAGCGGAGGAUUAGGUGGUGGAGCAUGAGGUACUUAUGUGGUGGCAUUGUGAUCAACUGAUGCUUCCUUUAAGUCUAUAUAUGUAUCGAUUGGCCACUGAUAGCUUGAUAGUGGAAUUAAUUGUGUGAAGUACCUGCAAGUAUCGAGUUCCAGUAUCUGUACGUUAGCAUGACUGCCUCCAUGUCAGAUGAUGCAUGUUCGAAUCACGCCAAGUUCACUCC